UACAGAGGUGGCAAGCGUUGUUCGGAAUUACUGGGCGUAAAGCGCGUGUAGGCGGCUCUUCAAGUCAGGCGUGAAAGCCCCGGGCUCAACCUGGGAACCGCGCUUGAGACUGAUGGGCUAGAGUUCGGGAGAGGAUGGUGGAAUUCCCAGUGUAGAGGUGAAAUUCGUAGAUAUUGGGAAGAACACCGAUGGCGAAGGCAGCCAUCUGGACCGACACUGACGCUGAGGCGCGAAAGCGUGGGGAGCAAACAGG
rnacentral:rRNA from 1 species